AUUUUGCAGAGCAACAACACAAUAAAAAAAACAAAAUAUGAACACCAGCAACUAAAACAGGAACCAUUAAAUGAAUAUUACACACAGCAAUAACAGCAUCAAAUAAUGGAAAAUAAUGGACCCUACUGCUCAAAUCAAAA